UGGGAAUUAAGAUGAAUAGCUUCAGCCUCUUUGUGAAAACUCUCUUUUGUAUCGCCCUGGCUAAGUUCAAGAUCCCUGACUUCUCCAGGACCUGGAAGGCUAAGCGUGGCAUCUGUUACAUUUUCUUUCAGGACUAUGUGACUCAUUGUCAUUGUUGGACUGUAACUGUGAUAAGCAAGCACCUCUGAAUUUGGGAAAAGAAGAACCAGACAGAGUAGAAUUGUCCUCAGUGCCAUUUCCUUCCUUCUGGAAAAGUUCUUCUUUUUCAUCAAUUUGAUGAAUCCACAGCCUUUCAGAAGAGGAAUACCAAGUGCCUGGUUCCAAUUUGUCAGAGGAAGAGGAGUACUUAAGCCACAAGAGCCAUCCGAAAAUUCUAAUUUCUAAGGCAUGUAUAUACAUAUGGACAGCCUAGAAGUCUUUCCCAGAAGCACUCCCAGGAUAUAAAAAGGACUACAGAUGGAGAGCUGGAUGGGACCUUGGAGGCCACCUCAUCUAAUCAAUCCUUAUGACAGAUGGGAAAACCAAUGACCGGGAAUAUAGGUGAUUUGCCAAAGGCUCCACAGUGCCACAGUCCAUCUCCCAGUGGAAGAAAAAAAAAUCAAGGAACAAACUGCACCUGAAUUACAUGUACCCCUGGCAGUGAAAGAGACUCCCUGGCCUCAGCUCUAAUGGCUGCUGCUUGACCACCUCCUCUGAGCAUGCUGCGAAUGUCCUUCCGGGCAAAUGCACAAAUUUUUCCUGGAUGUCUUGUCCCUUCAGUUUGCAGAUUGGUGGAGAAGAUGGCAAGAGAACUGAAGUGAAUACCCUAGCUUUCUCUUUGUCAUGGAUUAACUUUCUGCCCCAAACAGUGGGCCUAUCCCUUCUUUGUUCUUUUUCUUCUUCCAAAUAAACC